rnacentral:rRNA from 1 species
CCUAGGGGAGGCAGCAGUAGGGAAUAUUGGGCAAUGGGCGCAAGCCUGACCCAGCGACGCCGCGUGAGGGAUGAAGGCCUUCGGGUUGUAAACCUCUUUCAGUAGGGAAGAAGCGAAAGUGACGGUACCUAAAGAAGAAGCACCGGCUAACUAUGUGCCAGCAGCCGCGGUAAU